ensembl:lncRNA
AGAUCAUUUGCGGGUUACUCUUCUGAAGCCUCCAUCGCAGCUGGUCGUAGCUGUAGAAGCCUCCUCUGAGCCAUUCUGCUCACGUUCUAUGACACGGCUUACUUGGAAGUGUGGGCCUGAGUUUUGCGCCAAGCUACGUGAACUGAAGUGCUGCUGUUUUGCUUUGCUUUGCUUUGCUUUUACCGUCUGUUCCCGUUGCGAGAUUUCUUUUCCUGCUGCUGCCAGCUUUUACAGUGGACGUCGGCGUGGACAGCGGCCAUAUGCAUGCCGGUUAUGGGAGUCAGCUGGCGUGCAUAUUGAUUGACCGUUAACUUGUAGUCGUGCAGACGGCAAGUUGGAGCAAUACGGCGAUUCCGUUUGCUCCAGAUUUUAGAGUUUUAUCCAGAUUGUAUGUUUUACUGUUUUUUGAUUUGUAGUUUGGAUUUUUGUUACGCCACUGGUGGGAGGCCCUUUUUUCUAGCUGUAGAUCACCAGUGUGGUCCUGCAGUUGGGUUAUCCCCCAGCGCUACAUAUUAGUUUUGUUGUAAUAUAUUAAAAUUUCCUUUGUUUCUUUUAUUCAGAUGCGGAGCGCCGACGUGGAGGAGACUUGGGUGCCUUGGUGGUGGGAUCCUUUGCGUGUACACACCUGCCUUGUUUAGUUUAUUAGUGUGAGUGUGUGAUUGUGUGCUGCACUUGUCUUGGUGUGUUUUCUUUUUUUAGUUUGUGUGUGGCAUCCCUGCCCCUCCACUGGUAAGCCUCAGCUCUGAAUACCUUUUUAAUCAUAUUUGUACAUGGAUAUUUAUGAUUGUGCUUUUAUACGGUGUUUUAAAUAAGUUGACAAUUUAUUAAUAAUUGUUUAUCAUUGAACCUCGUCUCUGUACUGAGUAUAGCGAACCUAAGUGCCUUUUUGGUGAUUCAGUGUUACUUCCAGUAUUCUCUGGGUGAAAUUCCCAGGGUGGCGUUGUCUUUUUAAAACUGAAGAGUAUUUACUUUAUUUCCACCUCGUGCUGCCACAUACUGUAUAUCCAAAAAUGAUUUAUUGUUAGCUGAAAAUGGCAAGUGGUGGAGGAACUUUUCAAACCAUUCCUUUAGGAAAAGGAAACAAUAAAACACUGUGAAAGCAUCUCUCCAUUACCAUAUGAAUACAUUACAUAUUAUGUUGUUAAUGUUUUGUCAAGCUUUUGAACUGUUUGACCUGCCAUACCUGACCAGCUCCAGUCUUUGCUAAUGGGAGAUGAACACACCCUCAAAACGAGAGCUGCAGUUUUGUGAGAUUAUGAAAAGCUUUCAGAGACAAUAGAUGCCACAAGAUGGCAGUAAUAUAAAGGCUGGUUGAACAUGUUAAUUGACAGGCAGAGAUGAAAGGAGAGAUCGCUUUACUUUGG